AUUGAACGCUGGCGGCAGGCCUAACACAUGCAAGUCGAGCGGAGCGGCGGACGGGUGAGUAAUUCCUAGGAAUCUGCCUGGUAGUGGGGGAUAACGUCCGGAAACGGGCGCUAAUUCCGCAUACUUUCAGAUGUGCCUACAGGGGAUUAGCUAGUAGGUGGGGUAACGGGUCACCUAGGCGACUAGCCCUAGCUGGUCUGACAGGAUGACCAGCCACACUGGAACGGAGACACGGUCCAGACUCCUACGGGAGGCAGCAGUGGGGAAUAUUGCACAAUGGGCGCAAGCCUGAUGCAGCCAUGCCGCGUGUGUGAAGAAGGCCUUCGGGUUGUAAAGCACUUUCAGCGGGGAGGCGUUACCCGCAGAAGAAGCACCGGCUAACUCCGUGCCAGCAGCCGCGGUAAUAC
rnacentral:rRNA from 1 species